rnacentral:rRNA from 1 species
AUGAACGCUGGCGGCGUGCCUAAUCCAUGCCAGUAGAACGCUGAAGCUUGGUGCUUGCCCCGAGCGGAUGAGUUGCGAACGGGUGAGUAACGCGUAGGUAACCUGCCUCUUAGCGGGGGAUAACUAUUGGAAACGAUAGCUAAUACCGCAUAAAAGUCGAUAUCGCAUGAUAUUGAUUUGAAAGGUGCAAAUGCAUCACUAAGAGAUGGACCUGCGUUGUAUUAGCUAGUUGGUGAGGUAACGGCUCACCAAGGCGACGAUACAUAGCCGACCUGAGAGGGUGAUCGGCCACACUGGGACUGAGACACGGCCCAGACUCCUACGGGAGGCAGCAGUAGGGAAUCUUCGGCAAUGGGGGCAACCCUGACCGAGCAACGCCGCGUGAGUGAAGAAGGUUUUCGGAUCGUAAAGCUCUGUUGUAAGAGAAGAACGAGUGUGAGAGUGGAAAGUUCACACUGUGACGGUAACUUACCAGAAGGGGACGGCUAACUACGUG